CACACGAUAGUUUCACAGUGAUGCCCUGAUGAGCAUCUUUGCAACUGUGCACACCACAGUUUGAAAAUGAACAAACUCACAAUGCUUCAAGGAUAUCUUUUUUUUGCCUACUGGUAUUCCAUAGACGCCAAGGGAGAAAUAAAUAUCACCCAGUCUCCUCCUGAUAUAACUGCUGCAGAGGGAGAAUCCGUUCAGAUGAAUUGCUCCUGGAAAACACUUGAGAAUGAUGAGCAAAUACGAGUGGAAUGGUGGAAGAAUCAAUCAAGAAUUAUAUCUUGGUUUACCAAACAAAAUUACUCGGAUAUCAAAAGAAACAAUCCAUCUUUUACUAUGUUAAUAAACGCAAACAAUGCAGGUACUGAGUUGAGAAUUGCCAACCUCACCCAAAAUCACACAGGAACAUACCACUGCAGAGCAGUAGCUGAAAUACCUACGCUGAAAAGAGGAAAUGGAAGUGGAACAGUGCUAUAUGUACAUGAAGUACAGAAUAAAAGCUCCUUGGGUUCAGGAGCGGCUGUAGGUGUCCUUCUUGCAAUGUUUUUUGUGCUGCUUAUAAUCACUCUUCUGUGGAAAUGGAAAAUACUGAUGUCAAGAGCCCAAGAUCAAGGUGAGGCUGCUGCAGAUUAUGAAAGCGUUUUAGAGAUGGACGCAAUAGAGGGGCCACAGGAGGCCGUUGAGGCGAAUUCCUCCUCCUCCCAGGGAUCCACACAAUGGGCUGAGAUCACAGUUUAUGAGUCCUGUGAUUAUUUUGAUGUGAAGAGCAAUGAAAAUGAGGAUGACAGAUGAGGGCCAGUCAGACUGUCAACACUUCCCACUUUCACAGACAAAACAGCCAAAGGAGAACCGGUAUCUAAUUCAAACAGAUUCAAGCCUGUCAAGACUCCUUAAUAAAUACAAGACAUUCCCGGUACAUGACUGUUACAGUAAGCAAUAAGAAACAAGCCAAAAACCAACACAAAGUCCAGGUACAUUAUUCAGAUCACUUGGUAUUGGAGUGUGUGGCAGAAUGACAGCCCUGCAGAUGUAAAUAGUGUGUGGGGGAAUGUAAGGUUCACAGGGAUGGGCUGUAAUCAGCUCCUGCCAACAAUCACAGGUGAGGCCAUUCCCCAAUCACGUAAUUGAGUGCUAAUUGGGGAAUGGCCACAUGUAUAAAAAGGGGGAGAAAGCCUUUGUUUGGUGAAGGGAGUGGAGGUGAAUGUAUAUUGAAGGUGAAUGUAUAUUGAAGGUGAAUGUAUAUUGAAGGUGAAUGUAUAUUGAAAGUGAAUGCCCAUUGAAGGUGAAUGCCCAUUGAAGGUGAAUGCCCAUUGAAGGUGAAUGCCCAUUGAAGAUGAAUGCCCAGCCUUUAUUGUUUUGUUUAAACAUUUGAUUUUGGCCCUUGUGCCUUUGUUUCCUUGUUUUGUUUUGUGUAUAAUAAAGAAGUCUCUCAUUCCUGUUGGUAACAGCUUGGGCUGUGAUGGCGCAUGGGACCAACAUUACA